AGUGAACGCUGGCGGUAGGCCUAACACAUGCAAGUCGAACGGCAGCACAGGAGAGCUUGCUCUCUGGGUGGCGAGUGGCGGACGGGUGAGGAAUACAUCGGAAUCUACUUUUUCGUGGGGGAUAACGUAGGGAAACUUACGCUAAUACCGCAUACGACCUACGGGUGAAAGCAGGGGACCUUCGGACCUUGCGCGAUUGAAUGAGCCGAUGUCGGAUUAGCUAGUUGGCGGGGUAAAGGCCCACCAAGGCGACGAUCCGUAGCUGGUCUGAGAGGAUGAUCAGCCACACUGGAACUGAGACACGGUCCAGACUCCUACGGGAGACAGCAGUGGGGAAUAUUGGACAAUGGGCGCAAGCCUGAUCCAGCCAUACCGCGUGGGUGAAGAAGGCCUUCGGGUUGUAAAGCCCUUUUGUUGGGAAAGAAAUCCAUCUGGUUAAUACCCGGGUGGGAUGACGGUACCCAAAGAAUAAGCACCGGCUAACUUCGUGCCAGCCGCCGCCGUAA
rnacentral:rRNA from 1 species